rnacentral:misc_RNA from 1 species
GAUGAAGAACGCAGCGAAAUGCGAUAAGUAAUGUGAAUUGCAGAAUUCAGUGAAUCAUCGAAUCUUUGAACGCACAUUGCGCCCCUUGGUAUUCCGGGGGGCAUGCCUGUUCGAGCGUCAUUACAACCCUCAAGCUCUGCUUGGUCUUGGGCGUCACCGGUCCCCGGUGUGCCUUAAAAUCAGUGGCGGCGCCAUCUGGCUCUAAGCGUAGUACAUACUCUCGCUACAGACGUCCGGUGGAUGCUGGCCAGCAACCCCCAAUUUAACAAGGUUGACCUCGGAUCAGGUAGGGAUACCCGCUGAACUUAAGCAUAUCAAUAAGCGGAGGA